CAAUAAACGAAUGGUUACACCAGUUCAAACUUCCCAUAUGGUCAAACCACGGGACGUUCCCAUAUUAGAUUAUCGAAUUCGUCGAUACACAUGCCUGAUAUCAACAAUCAGUUAUUCAUUUCAACGAUAAAUAACAGCAUUCGAACUAGCAUUGCCGCCUACGAGCGGGUCAUUACUCAUUAGUAUGAAUUAUUAAGCCUAUACUGUUAUUGAACAAUGG